CAGUAGCCGCGGUAAAACGAAGGGUGCAAGCGUUAAUCGGAAUUACUGGGCGUAAAGCGUACGUAGGCGGCUUGGUAAGUUAGAGGUGAAAGCCUGGAGCUCAACUCCAGAAUUGCCUUUAAGACUGCCGAGCUAGCAGGUGAGAGAGGUAAGUGGAAUUCCGAGUGUAGAGGUGAGAUUCGUAGAUAUUCGGAAGAACACCAGUGGCGAAGGCGGCUUACUGGCUCAUACUGGACGCUGAGGUGCGAAAGCGUGGGGAGCAAACAGGAUUAGAUACCCCCGUAGUCCCUGUCUCUUAUAC
rnacentral:rRNA from 1 species